rnacentral:misc_RNA from 1 species
GAAAUGCGAUACGUAGUGUGAAUUGCAGAAUUCAGUGAAUCAUCGAAUCUUUGAACGCACAUUGCGCCCUUUGGUAUUCCAAAGGGCAUGCCUGUUCGAGCGUCAUUUGUACCCUCAAGCUUUGCGUGGGGUUGGGCGUCUUGUCUCCAGGUCGCGGGAGACUCGCCUUAAAGUAAUUGGCAGCCGGCCUAAUGUUUUCGGAGCUCAGCACAAGUCGCGCUCUCAUCCAGCCAAUGUCAGCGUCCAGUAAGCCUUUUUUUCAACUUUUGACCUCGGAUCAGGUAGGGAUACCCGCUGCACUUAA